UACGGGGGGGGCAAGCGUUGUUCGGAAUUACUGGGCGUAAAGGGUUCGUAGGUGGCUUGCUAAGUCAGACGUGAAAUCCCUCAGCUUAACUGGGGAACUGCGUCUGAGACUGGCAAGCUUGAGUGCAGGAGAGGAAUGCGGAAUUCCAGGUGUAGCGGUGAAAUGCGUAGAUAUCUGGAGGAACACCGGUGGCGAAGGCGGCGUUCUGGACUGCAACUGACACUGAUGAACGAAAGCCAGGGGAGCAAACGGG
rnacentral:rRNA from 1 species